GCGGCGCUUCGGGCACCACGGCGCCGGAGGCGGUCCGGCCAUGCUGGUGCUGUGCCCCAGCAGCCCCGCCUGAGGCGGAUCCACCUCCAUGGGCUCCGCCUCUUCCCGGAGUGGGUCAAUCUCCAUGGGCUCCUCCUGCCUGUGGGCGGUGCUGCUGCUCCCGCCAGGCAGCCGCUGUUUGGGCGGCGGAGCCAUCCCAGGGGGUCCCUGAGCCUCCUCUCUCUUCUUCGCGUCGAUCCGGCGCUGUCGUCUGCGGCCUCUUCUCUCGGAGCGAUGGCGCAGCUGGCACAGCUGUGCUUCAACUGCCAUCACAGAGGCUCGUGGCGUCCCCAACGGCCGCUGCGGUGGCCGGCAUAGCGGCCCCCGGGGCCACGAGGCCCCAUUGCGGGGCCAUUUUGCUCUGCAGCCCUGUCAGUGCUUAGAUUUGGUUUGCCUCUGCUGGAACCGGCUCAUCGGCCUUUUGUCUUCAGCAAAGAGCAAGAGCUGCAGAUCUUUGGACGAUAUGUUUUACCAGCACGACAAACCUGGUAGUUGUGUUGCAGAAUUCUACUCUGCUAAGGGAUUCUGAUAUUUCUUUAGUGCUGUAGUGUUAAGAAUGCAAAACGUGUUUGAAGAGACAGUGCUUUUCUGGCUCCAAGGCACUUCUAUGGAUGUUCAAGCAUAGAAGAUGUUACGGACUUAGCCAAUGCUCACAGUCCUUAACACAAGCCCACGUGUAGCCCGGAGCAGGCUGAUGCAUUCUUCAGGUUAGCUUGAAAAAACAGCCCUUGCGGGCUGGCAAAGGCAAGUCCCAGAGCUGCAGAGAGCAGCAGCAGGAAUAGAGGCCAAGCUUUCCCUGGUUCCUCAGAGGGAGAACCUUGAGAACGAGGCGCGGGACUGACCAUGCACAAAAGAAGAAGAGGCAAGGUGCAGGUCCCACGGUGUCCUUUGGUCUCCGACGUUCUCCAGUGGCGUCCUGUGGUUUCCAGUGGUGUCCUUCAGUCUCCCACGGUCUCCUGCAAUCUCCGGCGGUCUCCAGUGGGCUUCUGUGUGCAUGCAUUUAUAGUUGUUAUUGUCUAUAUGUACAUAUUUUUAUAAACUAUAUUGUCCAUAGACACAUAUAUAGGGAGAAGGAGAGAGAAUACAAAAGUCUUAAUUAUUUGCUGAAAUGUGAAAACCUUUUUCCUUUUUAAACCAAGAUGCAGAGCCAAUGGUGUCCUGUGGUUUCUAGCGGUGUCCUUCAGUCUCCGAUGGUCUCCUGCAGUCUCCGGUGGUCUCCUGUGGGCUUCUGUGUGCUCACAUUUAUAGAUUUAAUUUUCUAUAUUUACAUGUCUUUAUAAACUAUACAGUCUGCGUACACAUAUAUAGGGAGAAGGAGAGAAAAUUUGCCGCCGUUUUUAACGCAAACAUUUGUCCAAAGGUGUAAUAACCAUGUAUUUGAAUUCCCACAAUUCCUGCCAACAGACGUUUUAUUUACUUCAAAACAACCACUUUCAGAAGAGGAAUUCCGCCACGGUACUAUGGGACGAGGAGCAGGAACAGAGGUAACAUAGGACCCAUCUCAGGUUUGUUUCCACAACUCUCCCCCAAGCACAGGAUGUUUUGGAAAGAUGGACCCAAUUGGAAAUCACUCUGCGUGUGAAAUUGGGACCAUGGUUUUGAAACAGCCUGUAGUAUUGCUUGAGACACAUCCCCUGGUCCCUCUGCUUCCAAAUUUGCAUGAAGCCUUGUAUCAAGUCCCAAGCUCCAUUCAGUAGAGUCUGGUUAGGCACUGGCAAAAGCAGUGUUAGUCCUAUAUCAUGUAUGAAUCAAAAUUUGUCUCACUUAGCAAAUGAAACACAUAACCACGGACGUAGUUAUAUGCACUGCUUUUAUUUCAGCGCUGGGAAACCAAGGGUUCACACCCAAAGCUGGUUUCAACAGCUGUUUCGAACUCCACUACAUUUAUACAAUUUGGUCAUAUACAUAUUCAUUAGGUUUACGACGUAUGUGUUGCAUAUUCAUUAGAUUGCACAACUAUUUUACAGUAUCAAUUACAACAUCUUUGGAACUACUCUAAGCAUGCGCAGUGUCCUCUGGUGGUCGAUUAGGUGGUCUUCAGGAUGAAGUAAGUAGUCUUCUUCACUCGUGUCCUUUUCACCUCUUGUCACAGCACAUGCGCACUAUCCAUAUGUUCAUUAUAAUAUAUGUUCAUGUGAGAUUCUUGGAUGCACAUCCUACACUUUCAAGAUAAGAUAAGGACUAACUUUCAGCUCUCUAUUCUCAAACUAAGAUAAGAACCUGAAUACAACCUGCAUAGCUUCAGGAUGAGGUAGGAAUCUUGGACAUAGUUUACAAAACCGAAUACAGCUUACAAAAACUCAGUUCAACUAUAACACCACACCAUUUUCCCCUUGUAGAAUAAAGGAAAACUAAUAUCCAGAAAAUCCCCAAACGUAUUAAAAUGACCAACCAUACAUCAGUAAAAAGAAAUCAAUAAUUCAAUAAAGAACACUGAUAGUCAACAGAAAAUGAAGGGCCUGCAGCCCCGGGACAACAGCAGCUCUCCCUCCUCUGAGAGGUGUGGGCGUUUCUGGAGGGAGCAUCACCCUCCGAAGCAGAGGACAGAGCUUAUGAAGGCUCGGUUCUUCUGGACUCUGACCCAUCACAGAAAGUGCAAUGGCUGUAGGGGUCGAAAUACCAAUUUUCUUUAGUGCUGUAGUAAUAAGAAUGCAAAACGUGUUUGAAGAGACCAUCGGUAGCCAUAGGUAGUUUCCUAACUGGUUGAUGGAACGGAAAAAUAAUAGUUGUAUUUCAGCUGCUCUAAGCCUUUGGUUUUUCUGUGUCUGAUGCGUUUGUUUAUGGCCCAGGUCUGUAGAAAACACCAGUUGUGAGCUGAUGUUGCUCUUCUUUGGGGUACAGGCAGAUACUAAGCUGGAUCAUAUGUUUAAACAUAUCUUCAGGCUGUGUCACCAGAAACCGUGUGAUAAAAUGCUGUAGCUCCUCCAAGUGGCUGCAUCUGUGUGGUGCUCAGCAGCCUUUGGUUCUGCUGGCUUUGGGGUUCAUCUCUCUUGGACUUCUUUUGCUCGGUAGCUCCACUUUCUUAUCGUGAAGGCACCAGAAUGUUAUUUGGCAAGUGAGGACAGACAGACCAGACCCAGUUCAUGUCCGAGGGGUUAAAAACCAAAACUGAAGCAAACCUAAAAGAGGGCUGGUGUUAAAUCUUCAUGUCAGUGGUGUUUCCGCUUUCACCACCAAGUGGUGCUGUGUGUAUUUAAUGGCAUUGGGAGCUAUCUGUGCCUGCCUGUGUAGUUCACAGCUCGCACAGUUAUUAUUUGGACUUAGUUUGAGAACACGAGAUAACACCCCAGCACAGAACUAAUGUUUUUUAUUGCUCUGGUCUGAGAGCCAAGGGCAUUCUGACUGCUCUGCCCACAGGUGUGAUGUAUUGAGGAAGGGGGGCAGAGCUGGGACAGAGCUGGACUGACAUCCAGGCUGAUCAAUACAAGAAUUUCAUCCCAUUAGUGUCACGCUAAUUAUUUAAGGAGGGAGGGGAAUCUCUCUCAGUCUCUCGGGCGCUUUCUCUUGCACGCAUAGUUUUUUUUCUUCUCUCUUUUUUUGUCAGAGCUGGGGGAGGUUUUGGUGCGGGAUCUUUUGUUUGGCCCUUUGCCCUUUUGCAGAGGCCUCUGGGCUUUUCUGCCUUUUUCCUUUUUUAUCUCUUUGGGAUCAACUGUGGGGACCAGGUGCCCCUUCCUGGGACCGGCUACUCGGUGUGGACAGAGUUUGUGAGAAUUGGGUUGCGUACCUUUUCUUUCUAUUUUAUCUCUCUCUAUAUAUAUUUACUAGUGGUGUAUUAAUAUUUUGUUAUAUUAUUACAGUGUGUUUAUCUCACUCCAAGUUUCUCCCUUCCCUUUUGAUUCUCUCCCCUGUUGGGAAGGGGAGGGGUGGGGGGCAGGUGUGAGCAGCUCUCGUGGUUGUAUUGCUAGCUCGGGUUAAACCACGACAAAAUGGUAAAACCAGUUUAACGCAAUAUUGUUUUAGAUCUGGGGAGUUUAAGGAGUCCUUUUCCAGGAGCAUGCAGGCCACACUUCAAGGCACUCUUCCCCUCUCUAGACAACCAUUUCUCAUUUCUCUCAUGCCCAGACACCUUCACUGUGAUGGCAUGAGAAGGCAGCAGCACUCACUUAUUACUUUCUCAGCAGAAGUAACUUUUAAACAUGUAAAAUAACCUGGGGCAGUUCUGGGGUGUUUAAAAAAAUAUAAGUCUUUAACCACUUUUGCAAACAAACAGGAUAAGAUAACUGACAGGAUUUUUCAAAAGGCAUCUUCUGAUACUUCAGUCUGACUUCUAGAUUCUAAACCGGGACGUUACAAACUAUGAUUUAUAUAUUCUCCUAUUUGUUGUCCAGCAACAUCUCAUCCAUAUAUGCGCCAUUACUGUGUUUCACAGAGUUGUAUUGAUUUCAGAAGCAAUGUUUAUCUCAAAUGUUAGGAAUUAACUGUCAUUAACACAACUAGCUGUGAGCUGUUAUCUAGAUGCUAUUAUACUAACGAGAUCAGAGUCUCGUAAUCCCUAACAACACAGUGGCAUAGGUUGAAUAAGAAAUCUUGGCUGAUGAAGUGGACUGUCUAUGUUGCAGCUCUUAGACCCGAGAUAUUACUUUACACAUUUAGCUACAUGAGCCUCAGAUGACACAAAACAACUCUGUGUUAGCACAUGGCAUAAGUGUGGAAGGCUGAGAUAGUGUGAAUUCUUUGUCUCAAAGCUUGCUUGCUAAAAUAAAAUGCUUAAGGCCCGCUUGUUACAGAGAAAUGCUUGCUCACGCUGCUUGCUUAAUUGGGCCUGCUGUAAAGGUCUAAAUACAGCGAGUUAAAGUGCAAAAUGCAUGAUCACUCUCAAUUGCUAAAACUCAAAGAAUGCUUGAAGCUUAUGUGUUAAAAUUAAAUAGAUUGUCUUUACUCUGUCUUUAGGCAUAAAAAUAAAAUAAGAUUGUUUAGCAGCA